rnacentral:lncRNA from 1 species
UGGGAGAGGAGCCCCAGGCCCGGGAGUCCCAGGUGUUCCCAUUCUGUGAUCAGCACAGAACAUAUACACCUCACCAUGGAGUCUGUGCUGGGCUGGGUUUUCCUUGUUGCUCUUUUAAAAGGUAAUUCAUGGUGAAUGAGAGACACUGAGUAUGUGAGUUGACAUGACUGAGAAAGAGUGGAUGUGUGACAGAUUCCUGACCAAGAUGUCUUGUGUCUGCAGGUGUCCAGUGUGACGUGCAGCUGGUGGAGUCUGGGGGAGACCUGGUGAAGCCUGGGGGGUCCCUGAGACUCACCUGUGUGGCCUCUGGAUUCACCUUCAGUAGCUAUGGAAUGAGCUGGGUCCGCCAGGCUCCCGGGAAGG